rnacentral:rRNA from 1 species
CGCGUAGGUGGUUUUGUAAGUCGGAUGUGAAAGCCCAGGGCUUAACCUUGGAAUUGCAUCCGAUACUGCAUGACUAGAGUAUGGUAGAGGGAAGUGGAAUUUCCGGUGUAGCGGUGAAAUGCGUAGAUAUCGGAAGGAACACCAGUGGUGAAGGCGACUUCCUGGGCCAAUACUGACACUGAGGUGCGAAAGCGUGGGGAGCAAACA